rnacentral:tRNA from 1 species
ACCCAGCUGGCUCAUUUAGUAGAGCAUGUGACUCUUGAUCUUGGGGUUGUAAGUUCAAGCCCCACUCUGGGUA